AUAACAAAUUUUGGUAUACAUAAAAAGAAUAAAGAAUAACGUACUUGAUAGCUGGAUUUUCUUACCAUGAAAUUAAAAUACCAAGUAUUUAAAAUUUCACAUUCUCUUGUGCUCAAAGUUGCAGUGAUGUUAUCGAUACAAAUAAUGGAGAAGAACUGUGGAAAGUAAAACGAAAGAUGAUGGGAUUUCUUGGCUAGAAGCAGAGGAGACAGUACAAGAAAGAAUGUUAUGGAUACAAUUGGUGUAGGCGUUAAGUUGUGUUCUCCUCUUUGGUCGGGUUUUUUGUAGAUGACAUACUCUGCGUUUCCAUUCUCAAUUUUUCUCAAGCUUCCCGUUAGAAGCGAAAAAGAUUAUGGUUGCCAACAUUUAUGUUGUAUAGUAUAACGGACACCAGUAUGUAUAAUAGUUCUAGUCAGAGGAAACAAAUAUGUGGAGCGUGAUUACCCUAAAAGGAAAUUGUCUUUUGAUGAAUAAAAUAGUGAAUACCAGUACCAAUGAAUCUACCAAGUUGGACAUUAUUAACACAACACCUGAUAAAUUUUGUGAUGGAAACACCAUUCUAAGCUGUAACACAUCAAAAUAAACCUGUUCAUAAAGUUUUUUAAACAAAUGUGGAUGCAGUUUAACAUCUUUAAUAUUUUAGCACAGAACACAUAGGAAUUUUUAUUGAUGUUUCAAUAUUUAUAUACAAUAUACAAGUCACUCGAAAUAUCUAAAAGGAUCACACUUUCUAAAAAAAACUGUUUUAUUACUCUUGUUUGUGUAUUGAAACAGUUGAAACAGUUUGAAAUUUAACUUAUAAAAUAUGCAGAUUUGUUUAACAUUAUAAAUUUAACAGACAUGGGAGACUCAUUAACAAUUCAUUAUGUAUUUGGUUUGCUAUUAUUUUUUCAUUCCCAAAGACAUCUAAGUUAUUGAUGACAGAACACACACUUCUUGCUAGAUGGGUUAUUCUAGCUUGAUUUUUCCUAUGGUGCUUGUGUUAAUAUUCAACGUUUGUAUUAACCUUUUAAUUAUGAAGAGGUUAGGCAAAAAUCAAAGAAUUGGCCGAUAUUGUGUUUUGCAAGAAAAACACCAUAAAGAAGGCAUCAGAUACUUAAUAGAAAAAAGAAAACAAUGUGUCCAUUUAUGCCCUGCUGAUUUUAUGUAUUGUGGUUUAAAAAAAAUAGACAAUAAGUUGAAUGAAAAUUAAUGAACUUCAAUGUUCUGUUUAAGCCAUGGUGACCGUAUAUGUUUGUUGGUUGUUUUGUUGGUUAAGAAAAAAACUUAAUACCAGAUCACACAAGGAUCAUUCAAUUAAAAUUCUGUAAAAUCAACCAGUUCAUGGAAGUUUCUUCAACGGCAAACUGAUUAAAAGAAAACAAAUUUAUAAUUAAGAUUGAUUAAUAUUCAAAUAAUGCACAUAGAAAUGCCUGUAGAUUUCAGAAUCAGCAUUCAAUUUAAUAGUUUUCUAUAUUAUCUGUAAAAGUUUUAUUUUCGCUCUAAUCUUUUAAUUAAUUCUUGAAUGGUAGUUUCAUUAAAUUUUGAAUGUAAAUGUGCCACUUUGAAAUAUUACCUGAGCAAAGGAUUCAUUUCAUUGAGCCCAGUUAGUGGGGCUAUACCAUUAAUUUUGCGAAUAAGUAAGUAUUGUAAGUAAAAUUAAAAUUUUGAUCCAGAAACGAUAUACAUUGUUGGGAUUGCUCAGUUGGACAGAGUUGGUAAUAUUCCCUUCGGCUGUUUCGAGAACCUUUUGCAAUUUCAAGUAUUUUACGCUGGGAAAGUCUUUUAAUUUGAAAGUAUCUGUAUUUAACACCUAUAUAACGUUAUAUGUAUUUGAACAAGAACAAACUUAAUACUUUCCUUGUGAAUUUCAAAAUAAUAUGAAAUAGUUUCGUUAUGUUGAAAGGUUUAUAUAUUACCUUUCAUAACUAAUUAUAUAUUAUUUAUAAUUCUGAAACACUGAUUCAACAUUGUUUCUGUUCGUUUUUUUUUUUCAGUAAAUCACUAUGUUGUUAAGGAAAAUUGGUAACAUCAUCUGCUUUGUCUGACCAGACGGAAUCAGUUUACUUUAUUUAGAAUGCAUUAUGCUUUAAAUAAAAUCAUUCUUGCAUUAUUAUUGUUGAAGAAUAAAAAAGAGAGACGAAUGAUAAAAAAGGGAUAGUGAAAAUUGUCCACCGAAAAUAGACUGACAAUGCCAUGGCAAAACAAAAACGACAAACCAUCAAGUAACAAACAGCAGAUUCUAAUAUGACGUCCUUAUUACGUUUUGUAAACAAAGCCGUGUUCUAAUUAGCACAAAAUAUGUUUGACACAUGCGCACAAACUUACUGUUAACAUUCUUGUUAUUUUCUUUUUUAUCAUAAUAAAAUAUAUACAUUUUA